GCUCUCUUUCUCGCUCGCGUGUGUACUGCCUCUCUUUCUUGCGUGUGAUCCGUCACUUUCUCUCGCUCGCAGGUUGGUCAUGUGAUUCUCUCUCGCUUGCGAGCGGUUUAUCCGCGAUCAGCGUGUCUCCUUCGCGUCCAUGCCUGUUCCGUUCCGUCCCGUCUUAUUCUGUGCUUUAUCCGCGUUUUGCGCCAUUAUCAAAGUUCCGCGUCUCGUUCUCUGCGUUUUCUUUCGUGUACGCUCUGUUUUAUCCGCGUCCGCGUUGCGUUUUCAUUCGCGUUGCGUCUUGUCAUUCGUCUGCGUCGCGUCUUUUUAGUUUUUACUCUGCGUUCUGCGUGCGGUAGCUGCCCGCGAUCUCCUGCGUAUAUCUUAUACAAGACACCCUUCAUACAAAGCAAUCGGCGGCUCGGCCAUCGAGUCUCCAGUCCUAGUGAUGGAAUAACCGGAACUAAUAGCUUCUGCACACAAAACGCAGCAACGCUUGCAGAAGUCUCCAUAAUAGCCAACCAAUAUCACUUUCUAUAAGAGCAAAAGAACGAUUGGCUAUCGCUGUCAACUUCCGCUGCGCAGCAAGCAUUGCCGCGUUCUGCAUAUGAUAUGAGAGUGACAGCGCUGUUUGAUUUUUAUUUGUUUCUAAAAUGGAAAUCGAAGAAAACGAAUUUGAUUUUUCGGCGGACGAAGCAGCGUUUUCCGCUGCAGUGCUCGCCGCCGCAGCAGUGAUGCCAGAAUGCCAGUGAUGCCAGAAUACCCACGCUAGCAACACGCAACCAUAGUGAAAAGGAUGACGCACACAAGCGCAAACCGCGUACGUGUGAGCUUGGCGCUUCGGCUGGCUUCAGAUAGCAGAAGAGGACAGAUAUACUGUUUUCUGUCUCUUUCCUUCUUAUCGAGCCGGGAUGAAGACCGGGCGGUACGCGAUCGAUUU